UUAAACCUUUGCUUUAUGAUAUGAACCAUCAUAUUAUAUUUGCUGCACACUCCCUUCACGCCAGCCUUACAAAGAAAAAUAAAGAGUCCUUCUCCCUUCUCGCAUUUUCGGCCAUUUCUGCACACUCAUCUUGUUUGCCCCAUAUCUCCUUCGUCUCUUAUCGGAAUUCGACGUGUGAGUAGUCUAAAUUCAUCUACUCGGAGAGAUCUUGCUCGUGGUGUCAUUCGUUUUUGAAGAUAAUGAAAGAAUUGGUCGCAGUUUUCUGUUUCAAUCAGACGGGUCACCCAGUUUUGUUUUCCUGUCGCACCUUCACGAAUUCGAUCAUCGCUGAAGAUCUAACCGUUGGAUCGUCCUGAAAUUUGGACAUCAUAUUUAGGACAUCUGGGCCUUCAAUAUGACUGGAGCGAGUUUAAAUCAGAGCUACACAUUAACGGGAAUCGAGAUCAGAACAGAAUAGUACAUAAUGAAAAUGCAAGCAAUUGGAGGUCUUCAAAGGAUAUGUUGAUGAGAAUCUUAUUUGGUUUUGGGCUUGGGUUGAGGUGUGAGCAUUAAAAUGUUAGAUGUUUUAGGCAUAGACUCUUUGUUAAUUUAAGAGUCAGUUUUCUCUUUAGGUUGUUAAUUUAAUUUAUUUAUACUAUUUAUUCAUGUUGGUUUUAUCACUUAGAUAUUUAAACGCAUUUCUUGUAGUAGUGACAUUCCCAAAAGACGAUGUUUCCGCCAUCGUCCUAUAUUAAUACUAUUAUUAUUUCUUCCUUUUCUGUUUUGAUAUUCUGGGGUGUUACAUGAGUUUUCCGACGACAACAUACAGCCGUUUUCCGACGAUUGCCUUUUCGCAGGUAAAAUUAUCGUUUUUUCGUUUUUUAAUUGUUUAGAUCUACAAUCUCGUUUUUUCAUUUUUUUUCAUGUUUUCAGAUCUACAAUUUUUUCCUUUGUUUUUUCAUUUUUACAUUGUUUAGAUCUAAUUUUUUCAUUUUUUCAUUGUCUUUCGAGUUUUAUCUCUCGGAAAUUAUUUUCAUUUGCAGAUCUGUUUUUUUCGUUUUUUCAUCUUGCACCUUCUCUUUCGCAGCGGCAUCUUUUUCCUUAUUUCCCCAAACUCAUAUAAUUCUUUCUCCAUUGUCAACCCCACUCAAAUUACUCUUUUUUCAUCGCCUCAUUAUCAUAUUAUUACAUAUACACAGGUAAAUUUCUCCUUUAUUUAUCUCUUAUGUUAUCAUAUUUCGAAGUACAAGCAUAUCUAUAAUCUAUUCGGUGUUUAAAUAUACUGUUUUUUACUUUUUAGAUCUGAUUUUUUAUUGACUUUUUUUUUUUUCUUACUAUCAUUUGGAGAUCUGUUUUUUGGUUUCUCUGGAAAUUUUCUUCGUCAGAAAUGGAAGGAAAUUGAUAGAAUUUUGCGUCUCUCUACUCUAGAUCUCUGAUUUUUUAAUUAUUUUGUGUUCGAGUUGUAAAUUAUAGAAUUUUGUUGUUUAAUGUUUUGUGUUGGAGUUGUAAAUUAUAAAAUUAUUGAAUUUUGUUGGUAUAUAUUUUGUUGUGUUCAAUCCUACUUCGAUUUCAGUUGGUAA